rnacentral:rRNA from 1 species
AUUGAACGCUGGCGGAAUGCUUUACACAUGCAAGUCGAACGGCAGCACGGGGCAACCUGGUGGCGAGUGGCGAACGGGUGAGUAAUACAUCGGAACGUGCCCAAUCGUGGGGGAUAACGUAGCGAAAGCUACGCUAAUACCGCAUACGAUCUACGGAUGAAAGCGGGGGAUCGCAAGACCUCGCGCGAAUGGAGCGGCCGAUGGCAGAUUAGGUAGUUGGUGGGGUAAAGGCUCACCAAGCCUGCGAUCUGUAGCUGGUCUGAGAGGACGACCAGCCACACUGGAACUGAGACACGGUCCAGACUCCUACGGGAGGCAGCAGUGGGGAAUUUUGGACAAUGGGCGCAAGCCUGAUCCAGCCAUUCCGCGUGCAGGAUGAAGGCCCUCGGGUUGUAAACUGCUUUUGUACGGAACGAAAAAGGCUUUCUCUAAUACAGGGGGCUCAUGACGGUACCGUAAGAAUAAGCACCGGCUAACUACGUGCCAGCAGCCGCGGUAAU